GUCCUUUUAGUCCCUCUAGUUAUCAUCCAAUUAUCACAUUUUAUUCAUUUUGGGGGCAGAUUAAAGGUUGUAUCAGCGAUGGCGGGGUAUCUGUGAUGGC